rnacentral:rRNA from 1 species
UACAGAGGUCUCGAGCGUUGUUCGGAUUCAUUGGGCGUAAAGGGUGCGUAGGUGGCGCUGUAAGUCGGGUGUGAAAUCCUGAGGCUUAACCCCGGAACUGCAUUCGAUACUGCGGCGCUUGAGGACUGGAGAGGAGACUGGAAUUCAUGGUGUAGCAGUGAAAUGCGUAGAGAUCAUGAGGAAGACCAGUGGCGAAGGCGGGUCUCUGGACAGUUCCUGACACUGAGGCACGAAGGCCAGGGGAGCAAACGGG